rnacentral:tRNA from 1 species
UCUAAUAUGGCAGACAAGUGCAAUGGAUUUAAGCUCCAUAUAUAAAGGCUACCUUUUAUUAGAA